CCAAAAAGCCAAUAUUUGAUGCACUGGUAGUCCAAAUUUUUACAGUUCUUCAUGAGCAUAUAGAAUCAGAGGUAAAAGACUUCUGGCCCCACUAUUGGGGUGGGGUUGUAAUCUUUGACCGGGCUAUGGGAUCCUUCCAAGCUCUUUGGAGGUCGGAAAUUACUUAAGGACAAGUUUCUAUCAGGGUUUGUGUUCAAUCCCCGAGCUAUUGCAAAUUAUAAACAUGCAAAAGCCAUGGGAAUAGAGCAAAACUUUAAAGGUGAAGGCGAAAUUAUGGGUGGGCUUUUUAUAGUUGGCAAUGGAGGAACUGGAGUUGCUUACCAGUUUAUUGAGAGGAAUUUUGGCGAUUGGGCUCCUGUAGCUGAAGUUACAGAGGUCAGUGCUCGAUUGCAGCAAGAUCAAGGAGCUUCUAGCAAAUCACCACAAAAAUAUGAGUAAAAGGGUUUCUCAUGUUUCUUAUUGCAACCAACUUUUCUUCAACAU